rnacentral:tRNA from 1 species
GGUAUAGCUCAGUGGUAAAGUGCAUGCUUAGCAAGCUACGAGGUCCUGGGUUCAAUCCCCAGUACC